rnacentral:lncRNA from 1 species
GGUGCUCUACGUGUAUGAAGUUAUUUAAUACUUAUAACAACUUUAUGAAAAAAAAAAAGAAGGAAAAAAAUCUUCAAAGCAAAUGAAAAGAAACAGACAGUUCUUCAAAACAAGAGAGGAAAUUGGAAAAAGAACAUUUGGGGAAGAAAAAAGCAUGUGGAAUUUCUCUAAACAGAAGAUGGAAUGAUCCAUUUUACCUGCAGAGAGUGCA